UAGGACCGGAGGCGCGACCCCUCGGCCCACCUUGAGGCCCGGCCUAGGACUGGAGGCGCGACCCCUCGGCCCACCUUGAGGCCCGGCCUAGGACCGGAGGCGCGACCCCUGGGCCCACCUUGAGGCCCGGCCUAGGACUGGAGGCGCGACCCCUCGGCCCACCUUGAGGCCCGGCCUAGGACCGGAGGCGCGACCCCUGGGCCCACCUGGCGGCCCGGCCGGCACAGCCCGCCUCUCCUCUCCAGGCCAGGGCCCCACACCUUCCGCCUGACAGCCAGCCAAGCUCUUCAGUCCCCCGCCCUCCACCUGCCAGGGAGGCUCCGGGCGUUGUACCUGCCACCACGGGGUAGGUCUGGGUACAAAGCACUGGGAAUACAACCUUGAACAAGACAAGAAUCCUGGCCUUCAAGGAACUUCGAACCUUUUGGGGGAUAUGAUAAGACACAUUAGGAAUCACCAUGUUAAUGGUUAUCUUUCUUGAAGGAUAUAAGUCCAGGACACAUAUACUCACAGAAAUGAGUUAUUUAAAGAAGACGGUCCAGAUUCCACAGUCCAAAAAAAAAAGAGGUUUGCCCUGCUUCUGAAGGAGUCAGGGUAUGAAUGCAGAGGUCUUCCUGUUGGCUCACAUAUCAGAUCUUCAACGUCAACAUUAAAUGCGGAGUGAUGCUUCCCCCUCUGUGAAUGUGGCUUUGGGUAUGGCUAAUCCACACCCUGCACUCUGGCCUUCAGAAGCCCAGGGAGAGAAGCCUCCCAGAAGCAACCUUCCAGAACCUUCUCCAUCCUCCCACCGACCUCCCCAGCCCCUGUCCUCUCUUUGAAUCUCGUUGUCAAGUUCUUCCCGCAGACACCUGGCUCCUUGAGGGGAGGUGCAGCUUUCAUCUGACCAUGCAGGCGUGCUUUGCAGUGGGUAGAGCAGUGCUUUCCUCCUCCCAGCUGCACACUGGAAUCACCUGGAGAGUCCAGAAACUUCCCGCCUCAGGUGAAAGAACAUCAGUGUAUCAGCACAGCAAAUAUUCCAAAUGCCAGGCUGGAUUCCCUCCAAUUACCAGGACCUCCAGGCUUCUCCUCCUUUCAAGAACUUUCUGACCCUGGAUCCAGUCUAAAUGUUGGUUAUAAACUCACCUGACAUCCACAGGGCCCUUCCAAAAUACUGUCAAGGGCUGACUGCUGGUGCCUGGAACCUGCACACCCUCCUGGGACUCUGCAUCUCUGCUGGGGCUGGUUUCUCCUCUGAGCCACCUUAAGGAAUCCCACCCUGACCCGGUCAGAGCUCACCAUGCCUCCCUCUCCUACUUGCUCAGCAUUUUGUGUCUAUCUAGACUGAAGCCUUUGCUUUCUCUCUGUGAUUAUGGUGAAAGUUCAGUUUGCUUUCCUAUCUCUAGAAUGUCAGCACGAAGGCAGAGGCAUGGUCUCCUGAGUUCCAUAACCCCAAAGCCUAACUCCCUGCCUGCCACACUGAGGGGCUUAGUAGACAUUGACUUACUAAAUUGAAUAGUUGAGUAAUAAUGCUCUUUGAAAUAAUUUGGAGUUAGAUCUUGAGCCUUGUGUGGCCAGAGGAUGGGUGAGGACACAUCAUAAAAACUAAAGGUAACUGAGCAUGCCAGUGGUUGGGGUGAGAAAUUUGCAUGGAGCACUCCAGACACAGAGGCAGCAAAACCCAAGUGCUGGGAAGUCAGAGUGAGAGAGUGAAGGGGCAGUGAGUGCUUCUUUAGGAGCUGGAUCAAAACCUAAGAUGAUCUGGCCACAUGGUGCAGACUGAGCACACACUUGGGAGAGAAAUGGGCCAGGAGGAGAGGAGAGAGGUUCACCACAGGACAGUGGAUGACUGGGAAUAGAAGCCCUCCCCAUGGUGGACCAAGAAGUCUGUGAAGCUGAGAGAAAGACAAAAGAAAUCACGACUUCUGUAGGUAGCUGGGAUGGAAACCUCAGGGGUGACAGGGUCUUUAAAGGAAAUCUCAAGGAAGGCAUCAUGUUCUGGGUGUGCUCCAGGGAUGCUGAGUAAGAAAAGACCAGCCUUUCUGUGUGUGUCUUUACUCUGCCACAAGGCACCUGGGCUCCUAAAUGACCAAUACACAUGUGCUAUACUGGUGCCAAGAAAGAAGGGUGUUUUGUAGGAAAGUCAAGGUGAGAGGAGGUGCCCAGGACUUGGCUCCUUUCUUUGAAGGGUGACGGUGUAAAUUCUCCAUGCUGGGGAUCCUACUGAUGGAUGGAGGCAUGUCGAUCUCAUCAUUUCACAGAGUGGGGAGCUAUGGCCACAACGUGCCUAUCACACAAGUCCAGCCUCACGUCAGCUGGACACCAGCUGUUCUGACACUUGUCAGCACAUGGGGCACCCGGAAGUUCAUGGUGUUCUGCAAAGAACGCCACAAAACAGUGAGCUCAACUUCUUGAAAGUCAUAAUGUGUUGCUAAGUCCGAUCCCAGAUCCUAAAAAUAAUAUGAGGUAGUGGCCAUUGAACAGAAAAAAUUUACAUCUUAAACUUGAAGAUAAGUACAAGUGUACCUUUUUCUACCACUGUUGUUCAGUUUUAUUAUAUUGACAAGCACCUCUGCCCACCCUGUGGGGUAAAACUGUUUGAAAGUGUUUAUGAAAGUUUUAUAUAAAUAUUGGUUGAUCAAAUGUACAAAAUAUGCAUGAUGGCACCAUAUUGUGUAUAAUAGUGACAAAUACAGUCUAUGUGGGUGGAGAAACAAGCUCGGUGUUGUG
rnacentral:lncRNA from 1 species